rnacentral:rRNA from 1 species
CAUAGCGACUAUCGUGGCAUAUCAAUAAGCGGAGGAAAAGAAACUAACUAGGAUUCCCUCAGUAACGGCGAGUGAAGCGGGAAGAGCUCAAAUUUGAAAUCUUCAAGGUUCUACCUUGACGAAUUGUAGUUUAAAGAAGUGUUUUCUGUUGGAGUUUUGGUAAAAGUUCUUUGGAAUAGGACAUCAUAGAGGGUGAGAAUCCCGUAUUUGACCAUUAUCUUCCAACUUUGUGAUACACUUUCAAAGAGUCGGAUUGUUUGGGAAUGCAGUCCAAAAUGGGUGGUAAAUUUCAUCUAAAGCUAAAUAUUGGCGAGAGACCGAUAGCGAACAAGUACCGUGAGGGAAAGAUGAAAAGAACUUUGAAAAGAGAGUUAAACAGUACGUGAAAUUGUCAAAAGGGAAGCGUUUGACACCAGUGUUGUUUUCUCGAAAAUCAAUUAAAAAUGGCCGGGAUUUUGUGUUGUAUUGACUUUAUCAGCUUUCUGCACUUUUUUCUUGUCUUUUUUAAUGCACUUUUCGUUUAACAAGUCAACAUCAAUUUCUUUUGUUGUAAAAGAGUCAUUGGAAGGUGGCUUUCAUUUUCGGAUGAAAGUGUUUAUAGGCCUUUGACUUCUGCAAUCGGAGAGAUUGAGGUCUGCAGCGUAGAUCCUUCGGGGUUAGAUACAUUUGUGCUAAGUUAUAGUUUUUCAUAGACAACAUGUUGACUAUGAUUAAUCAUGUAGCUUACUCGCUUAUGCUAUUUUACCUACGCUUAGGAUGUUGAAGAUAUGCGCGACACG